rnacentral:rRNA from 1 species
GAUGAACGCUGGCGGCGUGCCUAAUACAUGCAAGUCGAGCGAACGGACGAGAAGCUUGCUUCUCUGAUGUUAGCGGCGGACGGGUGAGUAACACGUGGAUAACCUACCUAUAAGACUGGGAUAACUUCGGGAAACCGGAGCUAAUACCGGAUAAUAUUUUGAACCGCAUGAUUCAAAAGUGAAAGACGGUCUUGCUGUCACUUAUAGAUGGAUCCGCGCUGCAUUAGCUAGUUGGUAAGGUAACGGCCUACCAAGGCAACGAUGCAUAGCCGACCUGAGAGGGUGAUCGGCCACACUGGAACUGAGACACGGUCCAGACUCCUACGGGAGGCAGCAGUAGGGAAUCUUCCGCAAUGGGCGAAAGCCUGACGGAGCAACGCCGCGUGAGUGAUGAAGGUCUUCGGAUCGUAAAACUCUGUUAUUAGGGAAGAACAUAUGUGUAAGUAACUGUGCACAUCUUGACGGUACCUAAUCAGAAAGCCACGGCUAACUACGUG